GAUGAAGAACGCAGCGAAAUGCGAUAAGUAAUGUGAAUUGCAGAAUUCAGUGAAUCAUCGAAUCUUUGAACGCACCUUGCGCUCCUUGGUAUUCCGAGGAGCAUGCCUGUUUGAGUGUCAUGAAAUUCUCAACCUUUUCAGCUUUCUUUGUUGAUCAGGCUUGGAUGUGGGAGUAUGCGGGCUUCUCAGAAGUCGGCUCUCCUGAAAUGCAUUAGCGGGACCUUUGUUGCCUGGCUUUGGUGUGAUAAUUAUCUACGCCAUUGUAGUCAAGCAGCUUAAAAUGAGGUUUCAGCUUCUAACCGUCUCCCAUGAGACAACUUUUUGACAAUUUGACCUCAAAUCAGGUAGGACUACCCGCUGAACUUAAGCAUAUCAAUAAGCGGAGGA
rnacentral:misc_RNA from 1 species